UAACACCAGCGCCACAAGUGGCAACCACGUUUAUUGGGCCUAAAGCGUCCGUAGCCGGUUGAAUAAAUCUUUUGUGAAAUCGUCAGGCUUAACUUGACGGCGUGCAGAAGACACUGUUUAACUCGAGACCGGGAGGAGUCAGAGGUAUUCCUGAGGGAGCGGUAAAAUGUGAUAAUCUCAGGAGGAUCACCUAUGGCGAAGGCAUCUGACCAGAACGGAUCUGACGGUGAGGGACGAAGGCUGGGGGAGCAAUCCGGAUUAGAUACCCGAGUAGUCCCAGCAGUAAACGCUGCUAGCAAGGUGUUGCACAUUCUAGAGAAUGUGCAGUGUCGAAACGAAGGUGUUAAGCUAGCCGCCUGGGAAGUACGGUCGCAAGACUG
rnacentral:rRNA from 1 species